UGGCGACCGGCGCACGGGUGAGUAACACGUAUCCAACCUGCCGAUAACUCGGGGAUAGCCUUUCGAAAGAAAGAUUAAUAUCCGAUAGCAUAUCAAGAUCGCAUGAUCUUGAUAUUAAAGAAUUUCGGUUAUCGAUGGGGAUGCGUUCCAUUAGUUAGUUGGCGGGGUAACGGCCCACCAAGACGACGAUGGAUAGGGGUUCUGAGAGGAAGGUCCCCCACAUUGGAACUGAGACACGGUCCAAACUCCUACGGGAGGCAGCAG
rnacentral:rRNA from 1 species